UACAGAGGGGGCAAGCGUUGUUCGGAAUUACUGGGCGUAAAGGGCGCGUAGGCGGCCUUCUAAGUCGAACGUGAAAUCCCCGGGCUCAACCCGGGAACUGCGUCCGAUACUGGAAGGCUUGAAUCCGGGAGAGGGAUGCGGGAUUCCAGGUGUAGCGGUGAAAUGCGUAGAUAUCUGGAGGAACACCGGUGGCGAAGGCGGCAUCCUGGACCGGCAUUGACGCUGAGGCGCGAAAGCCAGGGGAGCAAACGGG
rnacentral:rRNA from 1 species